GGGGCUGCAAUGGCCAGCGGAAGCGGCGAGGUCUGGGCGGAGCACUGCGGCGGCGGCAGAGUCACCGCCCUGCGUGGUCACGUGCGUUCGCGGGGGAGUUGGCGCGGGAGGCGGCUCUGGAGAAGCAGAAGGACACCGAGGCGUCAGGUUGGGGUGUAUAUCGCUGAGCCGGAGAGACUGUCAGGGAAGGGAAAGCCCCGGAGCGGGGUACUGACUGAGUCAGGGAACGACCUAGGACAGCGCAUGAGGGACGCCAGCGCACCACACACCGGCCACAGGCCUGCAGCAGGCCUGCGCCAGUCAGUGGCCCGCACACAAACUUAGAAGCCUUGAGACAAGGACAGAAACCGAAAGGCUUGACCGAGACCACAAAAGACACUUGAAUACUGAGAAAGUGUGAAACACAAAGGUGGAGACUAAAGUGAGAGAUUUCGGAUACGCUAAUCAGACAGAUUCCUCCUUUGUAAUAAUCAAAUGCAAAAGGAAGAUGGAAAAGAUUGACAGCACUCUGAGGAGCCUCCUAAAAUCCAGGAGCAGCAUUUCAAAUGCUGAGUAAGAUUGCACCCUAUGAACAACUCCAGCUGGUGGAG